GGGCCCGCACAAGCGGUGGAUCAUGUGGUUUAAUUCGAAGCAACGCGAAGAACCUUACCUGGGUUUGACAUCCCCGGACCGACGUGGAGACACGUCUUUGGUAGCAAUACCACUGGGAGACAGGUGCUGCAUGGCUGUCGUCAGCUCGUGUGGUGACAUGUUGGGUUAAGUCCCGCAACGAGCGCAACCCCUGUCCUUAGUUGCCAGCAUUCAGUUGGGCUCUCUAAGGAGACUGCCGUGGUGAACACGGAGGAAGGUGGGGAUGACGUCAAGUCCUCAUGGCCUUUAUAUCCAGGGCGACACACGUGAUACAAUGGACGGUACAGAGGGAAGCGAAACCGCGAGGUGGAGCCAAUCUCAAAAAGCCGUUCUCAGUUCGGAUUGGAGUCUGCAACUCGACUCCAUGAAGUUGGAAUCGCUAGUAAUCGCGGAUCAGCACGCCGCGGUGAAUACGUUCCCGGGCCUU
rnacentral:rRNA from 1 species